rnacentral:rRNA from 1 species
UACGUAGGGGGCUAGCGUUGUCCGGAAUCAUUGGGCGUAAAGAGCGUGUAGGCGGUCCGGUAAGUCCGCUGUGAAAGUCGGGGGCUCAACCCUCGAAUGCCGGUGGAUACUGUCGGGCUAGAGUGCGGAAGAGGCGAGUGGAAUUCCUGGUGUAGCGGUGAAAUGCGCAGAUAUCAGGAGGAACACCGAUGGCGAAGGCAGGUCUCUGGGCCACUACUGACGCUGAGACGCGAAAGCGUGGGGAGCAAACGGG